rnacentral:antisense_RNA from 1 species
CCUUCCCUGUGCUAUUCCAUCAGCCUACAGACCUGGUACCUGGAUUUUUGCCCGAGAUGAUUCCUACCACCUUACUACUGAAGAAGACACCCAUUCCAGUGGACCACUGUGACCCAGGAGGCAUUCAGCCAUCAUGAUGUGGCCUUUACCUCCACUCCUGUCCUGUUCUACCCAGAUUCAGCACAGCCCUUUAUAGUGAAGUCAGAGUCCUCAAGCCAAAUAGCUAAAGCUGUUUUAUCACAACAAAGGCCUAGUUUGUUCCAUGAGUGUGCAUUUCAUUUCUUCAGUUAAAGCCUUCAGAGACACACAAUAAAUUUGGACCAGGGGAUUUUUUAGUUAUUAAUGCUCUCUGAAGAAAGGCAACAUCUUUUUGAGAGCAGCAUUGGACCACACCCCACAAUCUCAAAUGGUUGAAAUUCGUGAACAUCUAGGAUCCCGUGAAGGUCACUGGACCCUGUUUUUUCUACUUCAAAUCCUGUAGUAGCCUACUGAAUGAGAAAACAUAUUCUGACCCAUUGGAAUCAAAUCAGAGGCACAGUGAACUCCUCAUAGCAUCUUCUUUGGAAUUACUCAGGAACCAGAACUUUUUACACAAAUGUAAGAAAUUCUACCAAGGAGUCCCCUUACCUAACAGCAUCUCACAAGGCUGCAUCAGAUUCCAGAAAAGGCUUCUCUUGAUACAUCAAGCAUUUUGUGACCGACUUAUUCUUAGAUCAUUGGUUUUCCAAAGGCUUUGUGGCCAUGAAGCCCUUUGAGUGAAAACUGCAGAAGCCCAGAGUAAAAGUGAAGCUGCUCUGGAUGAAGUAGUGAAGCAAGAGUAGGGGCCUGAAGCCUGCUACGACUAUCUUCCUUUACCACCGUGGUGACACCUAAGGGGACUUCCUUACAACACCUUGAACUCUUCCAAACACAGUUUGAAAACCACUGCCCCAGACAGCAAUAUGUUUGACCUGAAUGGCAUUCCAAUCUUUUCUGUACCUCCACUCAGCACAGUUCGUGUUCAGUAGAUGCUGAACAUUCUUAGAAAUACUGUGCGCGAACUUAGAAAAGUGCAAGAAGACAGGCAUGUCUUUGACCCCAGGAAUGAUCAUGGGCUGAAGAUGGUGUCAAGUGAACCUAGAUUAACAGCCCUCCACUCCAGAUGGAUAUCCAGUGAUUCCUAGAAUGGGAUAUAGCCAGAGAACAAUUCUAUGCACCCUACACUGACAGACUCCCUUAAGCAACACCAGAUGCUCUACUGGUACUUGAAGUACAUGACUUUGAAGUCUUGACCCUCCAUGAAUACCUGAAUUACCAGCAAGUGGGUUUUGAAGCUGGUGCCUCAUCAAGGCCAUAUUAGAGCAACUUGUACAUUUGACCUCUUGUUAUCAGCCAUGGUACUCUACUUCGUGAGCAAGAGAUAACUAUGAAAGCCGAAUUCAAAUACUGGCAACAUUUCCUAAAGGGGCUCAAUAUCUAUCAUUCAUCUUCUUUUCCAAACUACACAUCACUGUAUGACUCAACCAGUAGCAGUUAUAUUGCCCCUUGGUUUUUAUUCAGUUUAACUACUGUUUCCAGGGUAAAUGAGCUAAUAACCAUUUUUUAAAAAA